UUAAGUUAUUAAGGGCGCACGGUGGAUGCCUUGGCACUAGAAGCCGAUGAAGGACGUUACUAACGACGAUAUGCUUUGGGGAGCUGUAAGUAAGCUUUGAUCCAGAGAUUUCCGAAUGGGGAAACCCAGCAUGAGUUAUGUCAUGUUAUCGAUAUGUGAAUACAUAGCAUAUCAGAAGGCACACCCGGAGAACUGAAACAUCUUAGUACCCGGAGGAAGAGAAAGAAAAUUCGAUUCCCUUAGUAGCGGCGAGCGAAACGGGAAGAGCCCAAACCAACAAGCUUGCUUGUUGGGGUUGUAGGACACUCUAUACGGAGUUACAAAAGACGACAUUAGACGAAUCAUCUGGAAAGAUGAAUCAAAGAAGGUAAUAAUCCUGUAGUCGAAAAUGUUGUCUCUCUUGAGUGGAUCCUGAGUACGACGGAGCACGUGAAAUUCCGUCGGAAUCUGGGAGGACCAUCUCCUAAGGCUAAAUACUCUCUAGUGACCGAUAGUGAACCAGUACCGUGAGGGAAAGGUGAAAAGCACCCCGGAAGGGGAGUGAAAUAGAACCUGAAACCGUGUGCUUACAAGUAGUCAGAGCCCGUUAAUGGGUGAUGGCGUGCCUUUUGUAGAAUGAACCGGCGAGUUACGAUUUGAUGCAAGGUUAAGCAGUAAAUGUGGAGCCGUAGCGAAAGCGAGUCUGAAUAGGGCGUUUAGUAUUUGGUCGUAGACCCGAAACCAGGUGAUCUACCCUUGGUCAGGUUGAAGUUCAGGUAACACUGAAUGGAGGACCGAACCGACUUACGUUGAAAAGUGAGCGGAUGAACUGAGGGUAGCGGAGAAAUUCCAAUCGAACCUGGAGAUAGCUGGUUCUCUCCGAAAUAGCUUUAGGGCUAGCCUCAAGUGAUGAUUAUUGGAGGUAGAGCACUGUUUGGACGAGGGGCCCCUCUCGGGUUACCGAAUUCAGACAAACUCCGAAUGCCAAUUAAUUUAACUUGGGAGUCAGAACAUGGGUGAUAAGGUCCGUGUUCGAAAGGGAAACAGCCCAGACCACCAGCUAAGGUCCCGAAAUAUAUGUUAAGUGGAAAAGGAUGUGGCGUUGCCCAGACAACUAGGAUGUUGGCUUAGAAGCAGCCAUCAUUUAAAGAGUGCGUAAUAGCUCACUAGUCGAGUGACACUGCGCCGAAAAUGUACCGGGGCUAAACAUAUUACCGAAGCUGUGGAUUGUCCUUUGGACAAUGGUAGGAGAGCGUUCUAAGGGCGUUGAAGCAUGAUCGUAAGGACAUGUGGAGCGCUUAGAAGUGAGAAUGCCGGUGUGAGUAGCGAAAGACGGGUGAGAAUCCCGUCCACCGAUUGACUAAGGUUUCCAGAGGAAGGCUCGUCCGCUCUGGGUUAGUCGGGUCCUAAGCUGAGGCCGACAGGCGUAGGCGAUGGAUAACAGGUUGAUAUUCCUGUACCACCUAUAAUCGUUUUAAUCGAUGGGGGGACGCAGUAGGAUAGGCGAAGCGUGCGAUUGGAUUGCACGUCUAAGCAGUAAGGCUGAGUAUUAGGCAAAUCCGGUACUCAUUAAGGCUGAGCUGUGAUGGGGAGAAGGCAUUGUGUCUUCGAGUCGUUGAUUUCACACUGCCGAGAAAAGCCUCUAGAUAGAAAAUAGGUGCCCGUACCGCAAACCGACACAGGUAGUCAAGAUGAGAAUUCUAAGGUGAGCGAGCGAACUCUCGUUAAGGAACUCGGCAAAAUGACCCCGUAACUUCGGGAGAAGGGGUGCUCUUUAGGGUUAACGCCCAGAAGAGCCGCAGUGAAUAGGCCCAAGCGACUGUUUAUCAAAAACACAGGUCUCUGCUAAACCGUAAGGUGAUGUAUAGGGGCUGACGCCUGCCCGGUGCUGGAAGGUUAAGAGGAGUGGUUAGCUUCUGCGAAGCUACGAAUCGAAGCCCCAGUAAACGGCGGCCGUAACUAUAACGGUCCUAAGGUAGCGAAAUUCCUUGUCGGGUAAGUUCCGACCCGCACGAAAGGCGUAACGAUUUGGGCACUGUCUCAACGAGAGACUCGGUGAAAUCAUAGUACCUGUGAAGAUGCAGGUUACCCGCGACAGGACGGAAAGACCCCGUGGAGCUUUACUGUAGCCUGAUAUUGAAAUUCGGCACAGCUUGUACAGGAUAGGUAGGAGCCUUUGAAACGUGAGCGCUAGCUUACGUGGAGGCGCUGGUGGGAUACUACCCUAGCUGUGUUGGCUUUCUAACCCGCACCACUUAUCGUGGUGGGAGACAGUGUCAGGCGGGCAGUUUGACUGGGGCGGUCGCCUCCUAAAAGGUAACGGAGGCGCUCAAAGGUUCCCUCAGAAUGGUUGGAAAUCAUUCAUAGAGUGUAAAGGCAUAAGGGAGCUUGACUGCGAGACCUACAAGUCGAGCAGGGUCGAAAGACGGACUUAGUGAUCCGGUGGUUCCGCAUGGAAGGGCCAUCGCUCAACGGAUAAAAGCUACCCCGGGGAUAACAGGCUUAUCUCCCCCAAGAGUUCACAUCGACGGGGAGGUUUGGCACCUCGAUGUCGGCUCAUCGCAUCCUGGGGCUGUAGUCGGUCCCAAGGGUUGGGCUGUUCGCCCAUUAAAGCGGUACGCGAGCUGGGUUCAGAACGUCGUGAGACAGUUCGGUCCCUAUCCGUCGUGGGCGUAGGAAAUUUGAGAGGAGCUGUCCUUAGUACGAGAGGACCGGGAUGGACAUACCUCUGGUGUACCAGUUGUCGUGCCAACGGCAUAGCUGGGUAGCUAUGUGUGGACGGGAUAAGUGCUGAAAGCAUCUAAGCAUGAAGCCCCCCUCAAGAUGAGAUUUCCCAACUUCGGUUAUAAGAUCCCUCAAAGAUGAUGAGGUUAAUAGGUUCGAGGUGGAAGCAUGGUGACAUGUGGAGCUGACGAAUACUAAUCGAUCGAAGACUUAAUCAA
rnacentral:rRNA from 1 species